rnacentral:rRNA from 1 species
GCAUAUCAAUAAGCGGAGGAAAAGAAACCAACAGGGAUUGCCUCAGUAACGGCGAGUGAAGCGGCAAUAGCUCAAAUUUGAAAUCUGGUCCUUUCAGGUCCCGAAUUGUAAUUUGUAGAGGAUGUUUCGGCUCACGCCCCGGUCUAAGUUCCUUGGAACAGGACGUCACAGAGGGUGAGAACCCCGUUUGUGGCCGGCGGCUUACGCCAUGUGAAACUCCUUCGACGAGUCGAGUUGUUUGGGAAUGCAGCUCUAAAUGGGAGGUAAAUUUCUUCUAAAGCUAAAUACUGGCCAGAGACCGAUAGCGCACAAGUAGAGUGAUCGAAAGAUGAAAAGCACUUUGGAAAGAGAGUUAAAAAGUACGUGAAAUUGUUGAAAGGGAAGCGCUUGCGACCAGACUUGCCCGCGGAUGCUCAGCCGGUCCUUCGGCCGGUGUACUCUUCCGCGGUCAGGCCAGCAUCAGUUCGGGCGGUCGGAUAAAGGCCUUGGGAAUGUAACUCACCUCGGUGAGUGUUAUAGCCCUCGGUACAAUACGGCCCGCCUGGACUGAGGAACGCGCUUCGGCUAGGAUGCUGGCGUAAUGGUCGUAAGCGGCCCGUCUUGAAACACGGACCAAGGAGUCUAACAUCUAUGCGAGUGUUUGGGUGUCAAACCCGUGCGCGAAAUGAAAGUGAACGGAGGUGGGAGCCCUCACGGGUGCACCAUCGACCGAUCCUGAUGUCUUCGGAUGGAUUUGAGUAAGAGCAUAGCUGUUGGGACCCGAAAGAUGGUGAACUAUGCCUGAAUAGGGUGAAGCCAGAGGAAACUCUGGUGGAGGCUCGCAGCGGUUCUGACGUGCAAAUCGAUCGUCAAAUUUGGGUAUAGGGGCGAAAGACUAAUCGAACCAUCUAGUAGCUGGUUCCUGCCGA